UCCUACGGGGGGCAGCAGUGAGGAAUAUUGGUCAAUGGUCGGGAGACUGAACCAGCCAAGCCGCGUGAGGGAUGAAGGUACAGAGUAUCGUAAACCUCUUUUGUCAGGGAACAAAGGCGGGGACGUGUCCCCGGAUGAGUGUACCUGAAGAAAAAGCAUCGGCUAACUCCGUGCCAGCAGCCGCGGUAAUACGGAGGAUGCGAGCGUUAUCCGGAUUUAUUGGGUUUAAAGGGUGCGCAGGCGGUCUGUUAAGUCAGCGGUCAAAGCCCGGGGCUCAACCCCGGCCCGCCGUUGAACCUGGCAGU
rnacentral:rRNA from 1 species